rnacentral:rRNA from 1 species
UGGGGAAUAUUGGACAAUGGGCGCAAGCCUGAUCCAGCCAUGCCGCGUGAGUGAUGAAGGCCCUAGGGUUGUAAAGCUCUUUUGUGCGGGAAGAUAAUGACGGUACCGCAAGAAUAAGCCCCGGCUAACUUCGUGCCAGCAGCCGCGGUAAUACGAAGGGGGCUAGCGUUGCUCGGAAUCACUGGGCGUAAAGGGUGCGUAGGCGGGUUUCUAAGUCAGAGGUGAAAGCCUGGGGCUCAACUCCAGAACUGCCUUUGAUACUGGAAGACUUGAGUGUGGCAGAGGGGAGUGGAACUGGGAGUGUAGAGGGGAGAUUCGUGGAUAUUCGCGAGGACACCAGUGGCGAAGGCGGCUCACUGGGGCA